GGUGGGAUGCCCGAGUGGCCAAAGGGACCUGACUGUAAAUCAGGCGGCUAUGCCUUCGCAGGUUCAAAUCCUGCUCCCACCACC
rnacentral:tRNA from 1 species